rnacentral:lncRNA from 1 species
GUUUUAUUUAUUUUUUUCUUUUUUCUUUUCGUUUCUUGUUUUUCUUAAAUUUGUUUGGUCGCAUUGAAUUUUUGGUUUUGAGAAUUGACUAGUUUUCGACCGACUUUGACUGAGCUUUAAUUAAACUGUGUCCAAUUAUAUAUGGUAAAUUGAAAUACUAGAUUUUUAUAGUUGGGAAUCAUGUUUCAAGUAGAUGAGCGUAUUAAACUUCUAAAAAGAUUGAUAUUGGGAGUAUAGGCAAGUUUUGGACACAUUACAUUAUUUAAUUCAUCCAGAUUACUUUUUGAAGCGCAUCAAAUUUCAG